GCAGAUUGCUCAUUUUGAGGGUUAAGCCUGGACUACAUUUUAAUUAACGGGAAAGGCCAUAUGUGGGUGGCUGACGUUUUGAAGGAAGGAGAGGUGGACAGCUGACGUCAAGGUUUUGUGAUGGCCAGAAACCGAGGUUCUUAUCUGUUAAGUACUGUACCGAGGUACAGUACUUAACAGAUCAAGGGAAAUUACACGACAGUGGGAAAAUCGACAAGAAGCCGCAGUAAACUCAAAACCCGAACGCUCCAGUCGCAGCAACCAUAAAUGCAACAGGACUUUUGGCUACCGUAAAGGAAACCUCACCCACCCUACCCUAUGCAGGCAUGUUUAGGGGCGGUGGGAGGAGGGGAAACGGCGGCAUAAACUCAACAUAAAGCAAGGGUCAGGAGUGGAGGGGGGGGGAGAACGCGAACAUUUUAUCUUGGUCGUCCGGGCGGCAGCGAGAAGCAAAGACUAGCCGUCCUGUUGGUUGUGUUCCUCUUCUGCCUUCCUCAGGCGCGCUACGGGAAGGGCGACGGCCGUCGUGGCGGGCCCUUGCCGCGGUAUCUCUCUCGUGUGUGUAUUUGUGUUUGCAGAACAAGUGAAAAGUCCUGGACGUGGUUAAUAGAGGCAGCAGGAACAAUGAUUAUUCAGUUUCUGGCAACACAUUAAAGGUUCAAUUGAAGUGAAAGUCUGCCAUUACAUUGGUUAAGCACACAAUGGAAGCUGCUGGUUUUAUUUGAAAACAAAGGACUACAAAACCCUUCCUGGAACAGAGUCCUGGAUCAUAACGCACCCAAAGGAGUCAGGUAAGGGAAAUGAACAAAAUAAUCAAUUCCAUAUAAUACUCUUAUCAUGCCCUUGGCCUAUCUCAUUUACUGAAUUUUGCAGGACUUCAGAUGUUGUCAUCUUAAACCUUCUCCCCCCUCCCCGAAAACAAUGGAAUAGCCACAAAACAGCCUCUUAACUGCUAGUACAGUAUAAGCAAUCAUUUUUAAUGUCUAUGCUUUAAAAAAAUAGUCUGGCCGGAAAUUUUCUUGAACUGGUAUAAAACUAAGUAAAGACAAAACCACAUGCUAAAAGCAUCAAAUAAUUUUUUUAGAAAGUCCAGUUUCCAGCAAUACGGAGAUCAGAUAGAAAAC
rnacentral:lncRNA from 1 species